CAGGCGGGAGAGGUAGGAUUUUUCACUGCUGUGCAGGAAACUGCAGUCGUUGAUAUGGUCAUCAGAAACAACGGCAUAAAACUCACAGAGAUUCGGGACGAGUGUUGGCAGACAAUGUAAGCAUAACAAAUAUGCUUACAUCAAGUCAGGAUGAAGCAGUUGUACACUGUCCCCUUUGAGAGGAACUCUGAACGAGUCAAGCAACUCAGAAACCAAUAUGUCCAGAGAGUCAUGGAGAUUGAAGCCAUGCAAACACCCCAUAUAUUCAUCUUUGAGGAUGAGUCUGGUUUCAACUUGGCCAAAACACGGCAGCGAGGAAGGAAUGUGAUUAGAAAAAGAGCCACAGUGGAUGUCCUGGGCCAGAGGGGUGACAACAUCACAAUGUGUCCAGCAAUAUCCUCUGAUGGAUUCCUGUCACACAAACCGCUAAUUGGGCCACACAACACCGAGCGUCUCAUUUCAUUCCUGCAUGACCUCUAUGGGAGGGUUGUGCCAGGUGAGGGCAGGGUUGCAGUGAGGCAAAC